rnacentral:rRNA from 1 species
GAGUUUGAUCCUGGCUCAGAACGAACGCUGGCGGCGGGCCUAACACAUGCAAGUCGCACGAGAACGGUGGGCUUCGGCCUACCUAGUGAAGUGGCGCACGGGUGAGUAACGCGUGGGUAAUCUGCCCCCGGGUUGGGGAUAACGUUCCGAAAGGGGCGCUAAUACCGAAUAAGACCACGGCCACUGCGGUGGCAGGGGUCAAAGCGGGCCUCUACAUGUGAGCUCGCGCCUGGGGAGGAGCUCGCGUCCCAUUAGCUUGUUGGUGAGGUAACGGCUCACCAAGGCUACGAUGGGUAGCUGGUCUGAGAGGAUGAUCAGCCACACUGGGACUGAAACACGGCCCAGACUCCUACGGGAGGCAGCAGUGAGGAAUCUUGCGCAAUGGGGGAAACCCUGACGCAGCCACGCCGCGUGGGUGAAGAAGGCCUCGGUCGUAACGACCGUCGUCUGGUGGGAGGAACCCGGUACGCGGACGUAACUAAUACCGUACGGUCGUCGACGGUACCGACCAAACGGAAGACGACCGG